CCAGUAAACAACAUCAGUGGGACUUGCAUGAUCAAGGACAUCACCUACACAGAUCCAACUUGGAAGGACAAAUAAUUCAUCUUUGUCCCACCAGCAAGGUAGAGGUUUGAGAUUGAUUCCCAUCAAUGGUCAUCCAAAAGCUGUGCAGCCAUUCCACCAUACUAUCCGCUAACACCUGGCUUACUCCUCCACUUCUCCAUCCUUUGAUAUGAGUAAGGUUCUCAAUACCAACUGACCUAAUAAGUGCAGGUUUGUAGCACUGUGGGAUAGGUAAGUAUCACCACCAGAGAAAGUACUUAUAUGCCUUUGACAUACUUUCUUAAUUAAGAUUUAUAUAUUGUUAGUAGCCACAGAGCUAAAUUCCAUCAUAAAUCUGAUGCCACAAAUAUACUUCCACCACAAUGGCACAGAUGCAGGAAAAGUACAAUGUCUACAAGAUCCUAUGCCCAGACAUAUAUCAUCUGGAAUAUUGUCAUCUAAGUACUUACUGGUGGUUAUUUGUUGUUUUUGUUCUAAGUUUGAAAAAAAAAAAAAAACAAACAAAAAAAACUUUCCCUCCUUCCCGUGUUAAUGCUAACCAGUUACUGUUUUACCUUUCUUUCCCUUUCCUCUCUUUUCCUUCCCCAGUUUUUUAUAGCCUGUGCUGUCAACAGAGAGGAGGGUUGGGGGUGGGCCUAGCUGGUGGCCUGUGACUAGUUUAUCUUCAAUCUUUAGACAGUCACAAGCCACCACGGUACCCUCUGUUGUCACCUCAAUCUACACCAACACUAUUAGAAUAACCUUAUUAAUAACAGCUUAAGGAUGAUAAAAUAGUUUUUUAUAAAAGCAAAAAAAGCCCCUGAUAAUAAUAGGUUUAUUAUAAUAAGCUUAUUAACUUUAAAAACCAGGUUUGUGCUGUUAUCAGAGGGGAGGGUU